UAUCCCCUGCAGUGCUCGUCAGCAGGCCGGGUAUUUUCUUGAGCCUAAUACGUACCCUGGGGGCAUGACGCAGUUACCGGUGUGCAUGUCCGCCCCGAGCGGAAAGCCUGAAGUGCUGCUGUUGUCCCCACUUGAACCUUCAGGUUCAAGAACGAAAGCAGGCAACGGCACAGGUGGGGGAUAC
rnacentral:other from 1 species